CUAUCUCGGUGGGAGCUGAGACCACCCUUGGCGGUUCACGGAACUACAAAGAAGCAGUUCGACAGUGUUGGAGGGGGUGACUGCCCUGGACCCAUCAAGGGGAGAUGGUGAAGAUGAGCUCGAAGCAAAGAAAGAAUCCCCUGGUGGCCGUGGAGCCGUAGCCAAGUUAGGCUAAUGAAGAGCACCCUGUGAAGCAGAGCACCCCCAGGGCAGCCGUGACCCCAGACCCAGUUCUAGCUCCAAACGCAGUGCAGCCCGGUCCCAGAAUGCCGCUUAUUCAGAGUCACUGUGCAUUGCAACUUACUAAUUUACAGGAUCCUUGUAAGAAACCCCCUCAGUUUGCAUCACGUGAGUGAGUCUCUAUUUCUCAUUACCCAAGACAAAAACCAAUCAACACGCCACCAGGUAUCCCUCUAUCGGUGAGGUGGACGAUAUACGUGGGCCUAGAAUCUUUGAGUUAUGUGCUCUAAUACCACUUCAGUUUUGCUAACCUACAAAUCAUGGGUAAGCCAAGGAUUUUUCUUUUCUUCCACGCGGCUAGAGAAAAAUCACAUAACCACAGGGACUGCCUUCGUCUUUCCAGACUUCUCUCAGGCCCUCAGAUAUUCAUUGAUUCAUUUGCAGUUGCACCAUGAAUAAUGUGGGGGUUGGGGUGCUGAACCCCGAUGCAGUAAAAAACCCAUCUAUGGCUUUUGAUCCCACCCCACCCCGAAAAAGUUAGCUAUGAAAAGCCUACUGUUGACUGGGAAGCCUUACCAAUAACACAAACAGUUGACUAAUACACGUUAUUAUGUUACACGUAUCGGAUAUUGCAUUCUCACAAUAUGGUAAGCUAGAGAAAAGAAAAUGUUAUUGAGAAAAUCAUAAGGAAAAGAAAAUACAUCUAUAGAUAGCACUGUCCUGUGUUUACUGAAAAGAAUCCACUGUAAGUGGACCCACACAGUUCAAACCCUUGAUGUUCAAGGGUCGGCUGUAUUGACCAGCAACUGACCCCGUGUCCCACGGCUUACGGGGGAGGCUUAUUCUCAAUGGAUGCUUUUUGUCUCUGGUGUCCUAACAAUUAAGGAUAAUGAAGAAGAAAUGCCUCAGUGUUCCUUCCUUUCAUCUGAAACACUUUUUCCACAUCUUAGACCAUCUCCUCCAACUGAAUUGGACUUCGUCUUGCCUUGCCUGUAGCCUUCCUUUUGGUCCUGUACCUUAAUGCUCAUUUUUUCUUCAUACCCUAACCACACUGCUCCUCAAAGCCACCUGGAUUGACUUCUCGGAGCAUUAGGCAACUACUCUGCCUCCAUACACCCCAAAAUGCUAACUGCAUUGUGACAAUGUAUGUUCAGCAUCCCAGGCCCCACCCAUUGACACCUGCAGACCCCCAUCCUAGCAAUGCCUCCAUGUAUACGUUCAAGGUCUUCAUUCAUGACCUCACGAGGCAUCUGGCACGAUAAAAAAGCAGAACGCAGCAUCCUUUACGAAGCAUGUGUGCUCAGAACGCUUCACCUGAACUGAAUCAUGCAAAACCAUCAGAGAAAUUCAGAAUAGAGACACUACAAGGAAAGCAGUCUGAAUUCAUCAAGAAUCAAGGUCAUGAAAAACAAAACAAGCAGACAAUUAAAGGCAGGGGGACGACGCCAAUCUAAAAGAGCUUUAAGGGUCAGAAGAGUUGAGUGUGCCACGGUAAGCAAACACGUGCACAUGCGCACAUGUGAUGGACAUCUGAGGAAAUCUGAACAGUGUUUCAUUUUUGUUGAAUUUCUCAGAUAGAAUAAGAGAACUGUGGUUAUGGAAGUAAAUAUCCUUGUUCUCAGAAGAUGUGUGUUGAAGUAUACAGGUGCCAAAGGUCACUGAUGCCUGCCACUUACCUCAAAAAGCUCUGGAAAAACAAAGUACACACGUGUACACAUACAUAUUCAGAAAAGGAGAGAGAGCCAAGAUGGCAAAAUAUUAAUAAUGGGGGGAUCUGGAAGAAAGGGUAAUAUGGGUGACUGUUACUAUUCUUCCUGUGGUUUAACAUCUUUCUAAACAAAAAGAUAGAGGGAAUAAAGGUCUCAACAGUC